rnacentral:rRNA from 1 species
GACGUAGGGCGCGAGCGUUGUCCGGAUUUAUUGGGCGUAAAGAGCUCGUAGGCGGCUUGUCGCGUCGUCCGUGAAAACCUGCAGCUCAACUGCAGGCUUGCGGUCGAUACGGGCAGGCUAGAGUUCGGUAGGGGAGACUGGGAUUCCUGGUGUAGCGGUGAAAUGCGCAGAUAUCAGGAGGAACACCGGUGGCGAAGGCGGGUCUCUGGGCCGAUACUGACGCUGAGGAGCGAAAGCGUGGGGAGCGAACAGG